UACGGAGGGGGCUAGCGUUACUCGGAUUGACUGGGCGUAAAGGGCGCGUAGGCGGUUUGUACAGUCAGACGUGAAAUUCCUGGGCUCAACCUGGGGGCUGCGUUUGAUACGUGCAGACUUGAGUUCGGAAGAGGGUCGUGGAAUUCCCAGUGUAGAGGUGAAAUUCGUAGAUAUUGGGAAGAACACCGGUGGCGAAGGCGGCGACCUGGUCCGAUACUGACGCUGAGGCGCGAAAGCGUGGGGAGCAAACAGG
rnacentral:rRNA from 1 species